UGUAACAAACAAUUGCAAAAUAACCAAUUUUAUACAUCAAUAAUAAAUGAGUUAAUAAAAAGAAAUAAUAAAAAUAUUCAAUAAUAUUAGUAUUAGUGAAAUGACAAAUAAUUUUUAGGGUAAUUUUUGUUUUUUCUCCUAAAAAGUUGAUCUUUUUUUCAAAAUCCAUUCAAAAUACAGAAGAAAGCUUCAAAUCAGCUGAUGGUUACCAAAUUUGAUUAUUUUUCUUUUCUAGAUUGAUCUCUGUAUCUUUAUUGUAGAGUUUAGGGAAAAGGGUAAAUUUUGAUUAUGAUAUUUUUUUGGUUAUUGUGAAAAUGAGCUAAAGAUUUGAUUUUGAGAAAUGGGGUUCUUGUUUUUUGAUGAAUAUUUACAUUUACUCUCUGAACUUUUGUUCAAUAUUUUGGAUUUUUGGAGAAAUUGAGGAUGUUUUUUUUUUCAAGAAAUAGGUUGUGGAUCUAGAAUUUUAGGUUCUGAAUAAAUUAUUUCAGGUAAAUGUUUAAUGGUCGGAAAAUCCAUCUAGAAACGACACUUUGGACCAAUCACAACCCUCGAAGCUCGGGUAUGAAGGGUUUGCCCCUCUAUCCUUCUCCACUUAAAAUACUAAACUUAGUUCAUUUUGGUGCAGGUUUUCAAUGUGUGACCUUAGAUUAGCAUUCUGUUGCCUUUAAAAAUGACAAGGACUACCUGAUACUGUUACAUAGAGCAAACGGUUUCGUACAUAAUUGAUGAAGAACCUUUCGCGAUCAAGAAAAUGCAUGUGUUUUCAACAGUGGAUGGAUUUGUAGAGAUAACCGAGUCGUUGAUGGACAUGAUAAAGUUCAUUGCAAACGAGCCCUCAGCGGGGCUUUUCUAUGUUCAACAACAUACACACACUGCAGUGCCCAACCUCAUCAAUCUCACUAGCAAAACAGAGGGAAAAUCUCGUCAAGUGACUUUGCACACAGCAGAUUCUAUCGUCAUGGUCAGGUCAAUGAAAGAGUGUGGAUUCAAAUGGCCUCAGAUGGAUGCCAUAGAACCUAAACCAGCAAAGAAUGAUGAGCCAUCUGUAAUCUGUUCUAAUGAUGACACGACAUUACCAGCAGAUGACAGCUCUUGCACCAGAGGUCAACAACGAUGAAACGUUACUGUUCUCUGAAGAACAUGAAACAUAGAAAUGAGAGAUCAUCAUACGUGUUCAAAGGACAAGGAAAGAGGAAGCUUCAAUCUUACAAUAUAGCAAUUGUGUUGAACUUCUAUUAGUUGAAAUGGGUUCCCUGAUCCUCACAUUACAGAGGCAAAACAAAGACUGCAGCCUCAAUAGUUAAGUCACUCAAUGAACAAUAUAAUGAAAGUCACAUUUCCAGA